rnacentral:rRNA from 1 species
UACAGAGGGUGCGAGCGUUAAUCGGAAUUACUGGGCGUAAAGCGCGCGUAGGCGGCUUUGUAAGUCGAUUGUGAAAUCCCCAGGCUUAACCUGGGAACUGCAUUCGAGACUGCAUAGCUAGAGUAUGGGAGAGGGAAGUGGAAUUUCAGGUGUAGCGGUGAAAUGCGUAGAUAUCUGAAGGAACACCAGUGGCGAAGGCGACACCCUGGACUCAUACUGACACUGAGGUGCGAAAGCGUGGGGAGCAAACAGG